GACGAACGCUGGCGGCGUGCCUAAUACAUGCAAGUAGGACGCAGUUGCGAACGGGUGAGUAACGCGUAGGUAACUACCUAUUAGAGGGGGAGAACUAUUGGAAACGAUAGCUAAUACCGCAUACUAGUAGAUGGACCUGCGUUGUAUUAGCUAGUAGGUAGGGUAAUGGCCUACCUAGGCAAAGAUACAUAGCCGACCUGGGAGGGGGAUCGGACAAACUGGGACUGGGACACGGCCCCAACUCCUUCGGGAGGCAGCAGUAGGGAAUCUUUGGGCAUGGGGGGAACGCUGGCCGGGCAACGCCGCGUGAGGGAAGAAGGUUUUCGGGUCGUAAAGCUCUGUUGUUAAGGAAGCGGUACUUAACCAGAAAGGGACGGCUAACUACGUGCCAGCAGCCGCGGUAAUUC
rnacentral:rRNA from 1 species